GAUGAACGCUGGCGGCGUGCCUAAUACAUGCAAGUCGAGCGAACAGACGAGGAGCUUGCUCCUCUGACGUUAGCGGCGGACGGGUGAGUAACACGUGGAUAACCUACCUAUAAGACUGGGAUAACUUCGGGAAACCGGAGCUAAUACCGGAUAAUAUAUUGAACCGCAUGGUUCAAUAGUGAAAGACGGUUUUGCUGUCACUUAUAGAUGGAUCCGCGCCGCAUUAGCUAGUUGGUAAGGUAACGGCUUACCAAGGCAACGAUGCGUAGCCGACCUGAGAGGGGGAUCGGCCACAUGGGAACUGAGACACGGUCCAGACUCCUACGGGAGGCAGCAGUAGGGAAUCUUCCGCAAUGGGCGAAAGCCUGACGGAGCAACGCCGCGUGAGUGAUGAAGGUCUUCGGAUCGUAAAACUCUGUUAUUAGGGAAGAACAAAUGUGUAAGUAACUAUGCACGUCUUGACGGUACCUAAUCAGAAAGCCACGGCUAACUACGUG
rnacentral:rRNA from 1 species